rnacentral:rRNA from 1 species
AGUGAACGCUGGCGGUAGGCCUAACACAUGCAAGUCGAACGGCAGCACAGUAAGAGCUUGCUCUUACGGGUGGCGAGUGGCGGACGGGUGAGGAAUACAUCGGAAUCUACUUUUUCGUGGGGGAUAACGUAGGGAAACUUACGCUAAUACCGCAUACGACCUACGGGUGAAAGCAGGGGAUCUUCGGACCUUGCGCGAUUGAAUGAGCCGAUGUCGGAUUAGCUAGUUGGCGGGGUAAAGGCCCACCAAGGCGACGAUCCGUAGCUGGUCUGAGAGGGUGAUCAGCCACACUGGAACUGAGACACGGUCCAGACUCCUACGGGAGGCAGCAGUGGGGAAUAUUGGACAAUGGGCGCAAGCCUGAUCCAGCCAUACCGCGUGGGUGAAGAAGGCCUUCGGGUUGUAAAGCCCUGUUGUUGGGAAAGAAAAGCAGCAGGUUAAUACCCCGCUGUUCUGACGGUACCCAAAGAAUAAGCACCGGCUAACUUCGUG